GACGAACGCUGGCGGCGUGCUUAACACAUGCAAGUCGAACGGAAAGGCCCUGCUUUUGUGGGGUGCUCGAGUGGCGAACGGGUGAGUAACACGUGAGUAACCUGCCCUUGACUUUGGGAUAACUUCAGGAAACUGGGGCUAAUACCGGAUAGGAGCUCCUGAUGCAUGGUGGGGGUUGGAAAGUUUCGGCGGUUGGGGAUGGACUCGCGGCUUAUCAGCUUGUUGGUGGGGUAGUGGCUUACCAAGGCUUUGACGGGUAGCCGGCCUGAGAGGGUGACCGGCCACAUUGCGACUGAGAUACGGCCCAGACUCCUACGGGAGGCAGCAGUGGGGAAUAUUGCGCAAUGGGCGGAAGCCUGAUGCAGCAACGCCGCGUGCGGGAUGACGGCCUUCGGGUUGUAAACCGCUUUCGCCUGUGACGAAGCGUGAGUGACGGUAAUGGGUAAAGAAGCACCGGCUAACUACGUG
rnacentral:rRNA from 1 species